rnacentral:lncRNA from 1 species
UGGUUGCAGUGCCGACUGCAUUGUCCGAGAACGUGGAUGCAGUGCCCAGGCAUUGGAUGCAGUGUCCCACAAGGUGCAUGCAGUAUGUUGUGAUGGAGGAUGCAGUGCCCAUGAGGGUGGAUGCAGUAAUCCGGCAGUGGUUGCAGUGCAUCCUGCUGUGUCCCUGAAUGUGCAUGCUCUGAACAUGCAGUGGAUGCAGUGAUCCUGCAGUGAUUGCAGUGUGCCUGCAUUUCCACAUCAGCUGGAAGCAGUGUCCCUGCAGGGGCUGUAGUGCUGCCUUUUGUGUCACUGAAGGUGAAUCAGUGCCCAUGCAGUGGAUGAAUUGUACCUAAAGGUUUAUGCAGUAUAUUGUGAUGCAGGAUGCAGUGCCCAUGAAGGGGGCUGCAGUGU